AUUGAACGCUGGCGGCAUGCUUUACACAUGCAAGUCGAACGGUAACAGGCCGCAAGGUGCUGACGAGUGGCGAACGGGUGAGUAAUGCAUCGGAACGUGCCCAGUCGUGGGGGAUAACUACUCGAAAGAGUAGCUAAUACCGCAUACGAUCUAUGAAUGAAAGCGGGGGACCGUAAGGCCUCGCGCGAUUGGAGCGGCCGAUGUCAGAUUAGGUAGUUGGUGGGGUAAAGGCUCACCAAGCCAACGAUCUGUAGCUGGUCUGAGAGGACAACCAGCCACACUGGGACUGAGACACGGCCCAGACUCCUACGGGAGGCAGCAGUGGGGAAUUUUGGACAAUGGGCGCAAGCCUGAUCCAGCAAUGCCGCGUGCAGGAAGAAGGCCUUCGGGUUGUAAACUGCUUUUGUACGGAACGAAACGGCUCUGGUUAAUACCCGGGGCUAAUGACGGUACCGUAAGAAUAAGCACCGGCUAACUACGUG
rnacentral:rRNA from 1 species